rnacentral:rRNA from 1 species
GGGAGUGAAAUAGAACCUGAAACCGUAUACGUACAAGCAGUGGGAGCCCUUCGGGGUGACUGCGUACCUUUUGUAUAAUGGGUCAGCGACUUAUAUUUAGUAGCAAGGUUAAGUGAAUAACGGAGCCGUAGCGAAAGCGAGUGUUAACUGCGCGUUUAGUUGCUAGGUAUAGACCCGAAACCCGGUGAUCUAGCCAUGAGCAGGUUGAAGGUUGAGUAACAUCAACUGGAGGACCGAACCCACUAACUUUGAAAAGUUAGGGGAUGACUUGUGGCUGGGGGUGAAAGGCCAAUCAAACCGGGAGAUAGCUGGUUCUCCCCGAAAUCUAUUUAGGUAGAGCCUCGGACGAAUUCCAUUGGGGGUAGAGCACUGUUAAGGCUAGGGGGUCAUCCCGACUUACCAACCCUUUGCAAACUCCGAAUACCAAUGAGAACUAUCCGGGAGACACACGGCGGGUGCUAACGUCCGUCGUGGAGAGGGAAACAACCCAGACCGCCAGCUAAGGUCCCAAAAUAUUGCUAAGUGGGAAACGAUGUGGGAAGGCAUAGACAGCUAGGAGGUUGGCUUAGAAGCAGCCAUCCUUUAAAGAAAGCGUAAUAGCUCACUAGUCGAGUCGGCCUGCGCGGAAGAUGUAACGGGGCUAAGCAAUAUACCGAAGCUGCGGCAGCAUGUUUACAUGCUGGGUAGGGGAGCGUUGUGUAAGUGGAUGAAGGUGAGUUGUAAAGCUUGCUGGACAUAUCACAAGUGCGAAUGCUGACAUGAGUAACGAUAAUGGGAGUGAAAAACUCCCACGCCGGAAGACCAAGGUUUCCUGUCCCAUGCUAAUCAGGGCAGGGUAAGUCGGCCCCUAAGGCGAGGCAGAAAUGCGUAGUCGAUGGGAAACGGGUUAAUAUUCCCGUACUUAUAUAAUCAGUGAUGGAGGGACGGAGAAGGCUAGGCAAGCUUGGCGUUGGUUGUCCAAGUGAAAGUGAGUAGGCUGAAGACUUAGGUAAAUCCGGGUUUUCAAGGCCGAGACACGAGACGAGCUCCCAAGGGAGUGAAGUUGUUGAUGCCCUGCUUCCAGGAAAAGCUUCUAAACUUAUGAUUAUAUGAACCGUACCCCAAACCGACACAGGUGGUCAGGUAGAGAAUACUAAGGCGCUUGAGAGAACUCGGGUGAAGGAACUCGGCAAAAUUGUACCGUAACUUCGGGAGAAGGUACGCCUCUGUUUGUGAACACUUCGCGUGGUAAGCAAAUGGAGGCCGCAGUGACCAGGUGGCUGGGACUGUUUAUUAAAAACACAGCACUCUGCAAAGACA